GACGUAGGGCGCGAGCGUUGUCCGGAAUCAUUGGGCGUAAAGGGCGCGUAGGUGGCCCGGUCAGUCCGUGGUGAAAGCCCGGGGCUCAACCCCGGAAUUGCCUUUAAGACUGCAUCGCUUGAAUCCGGGAGAGGUGAGUGGAAUUCCGAGUGUAGAGGUGAAAUUCGUAGAUAUUCGGAAGAACACCAGUGGCGAAGGCGGCUCACUGGACCGGUAUUGACGCUGAGGUGCGAAAGCGUGGGGAGCAAACAGG
rnacentral:rRNA from 1 species